ACUGGGACUGAGACACGGCCCAGACUCCUACGGGAGGCAGCAGUGGGGAAUUUUCCGCAUUGGGCGCAAGCCUGACGGAGCAAUACCGCGUGAGGGAGGAAGGCCUUUGGGUUGUAAACCUCUUUUCUUAAGGAAGAAGAUCUGACGGUACUUAAGGAAUCAGCAUCGGCUAACUCCGUGCCAGCAGCCGCGGUAAUACGGAGGAUGCAAGCGUUAUCCGGAAUUAUUGGGCGUAAAGCGUCCGCAGGCGGCAUUAUAAGUCUGCUGUCAAAGACCGCAGCUCAACUGCGGAAAGGCAGUGGAAACUGUAAAGCUAGAGUACGGUAGGGGUAGAGGGAAUUCCCAGUGUAGCGGUGAAAUGCGUAGAUAUUGGGAAGAACACCAGUGGCGAAAGCGCUCUACUGGGCCGUAACUGACGCUCAGGGACGAAAGCUAGGGGAGCGAAAGGGAUUAGAUACCCCUGUAGUCCUAGCUGUAAACGAUGGAUACUAGGCGUAGCUUGUAUCGACCCGAGCUGUGCCCGAAGCUAACGCGUUAAGUAUCCCGCCUGGGGAGUACGCACGCAAGUGUGAAACUCAAAGGAAUUGACGGGGGGCCCGCACAAAGCGGUGGAGUAUGU
rnacentral:rRNA from 1 species